UUUCCAAUUCAGAAACAUUAGCAUCGUCUCACAACAAUCCCAUCCCCCAUUGAAGAUCCUUAACAGUAAAGUCAAGGUUAUGCAUCAUCAAAUUUAGGAAACUAAGAAUGAAGGAAUCCGUAAUCUUCCCACGUAGCCUCUUCAGGAGAAAGAUUAGCCCACUGUACCAGAACUUCUGUCACUGCCUUGUUCCUUUUCUUAACCUCCGAUCCAAAAUCGCCACCAGUUCCACGGGAAUUUGGCCCUCGUUAUUGCAAAUUGGAGGAUCAAUCAUAGCUACCACUUGAUUACCCACUUUCUUCUUCAAUUGCGAAACAUGAAACACCGGGUGAAUUUUUGAUCCGGGUGGCAACUUCAAUUUAUAUGCUAUUUGGCCAAUUUUUUCCAAAAUCUGAUAAGACCCGUAGUACUUUGAUGCUAACUUCAGAUUUUUCCGUCUUGCUACCGACGCCAGUCGAUAUAGUUGCAGUUUGAGGGGAGGAUCAUAGCGAUAAAGUGCCUUAAUAGCUGAGUGGUAAGUCGAGUUGUACCAGAAUUCCGCUAAGCUCAACCAUUUGCUCCAAUUCACAGGUUUAUGAACUGUCAUACAACGAAGGUGUUUGAAUGAGAGUUGGACCCAAAGCAGGCAUUUGAAAUCUAGAAGGUCAACCAAAAGAGGAUAUUGUGUUGUGUUGGUUCAGAGUUAGGGCUGGUCUGGAUGUGAAAUAAAUGGGUUGAUAUGAAGGAAGAGAAAUGGGUAAAACCAUUGAAGUAGGCAUGGUGUUGGUAUAAGAAACAGGGGUGGUGUGGAGACUAGUAGGCAUAAUGGAAUUGUUAACACUGUUAGUGUUAACAGGUGUAGUAUUCAUAGAAUUAAAAUAAAAAGAAGUAGUAGAAAGUUGGUAAUACUUGGAUAAAAAGAGGGUGGUGGUGGUAAUAUGGUAGUAUUUUGAGGAUUGAAGGGAGCUGGAGUAAAUUUCAUAGCCCUACCAGCUUGGGGAAAUGAAAUAUUAGUGGUUGAAGGAGUAAAUGAAGAAGCAGAAGAGCAAAGAUUACACCCCACAGAAGACUCACCCAUUUUUGAAGAUGAACCACCUUGUAACAACAAGGCAUGUGCCAGAGUAUUGAUGAAAGACUCAGCUUGUCGUUCCCACUCGAGUUGUGAUAACAAAAGUUCGAUCUUCUAGUUACUUUCCUCUUCUCUUCGAGCAACUUCGGCAUCACAUCGAACUUGAAGCUCCUCCAUUUGAGCUACUCUUUUCUGUGUAUCUAACAUAUAGGCCUUCAUCUACGAUUCAAACUUCUUCCAAUCGUUAGCAUCCUCAGAUGCUUUACCUUGUUGUUUGUCCACCAUCACUGGAACAGGACGUCGGAACGUUACCGCUCUGAUACCAAUAUAUAACAACGACUAUUGACGAAAAGAAUAAAAUCAAAGAAGAAGACAAAUAAGAAGAAAAUAUAAGGAUUGUUUCAUUCAGCAUAAUAUUCCAAAUGGAAUUACGCAGAGAUAAAUAAGACAAGAUUCUUUAACAACCUAGACAUAUGGCAAAUAAAGCAGUGGCCACUUGGAGGGACGGAAAACUAAAUAAUAAAGGACUCUAUUGACAUAAACUAAACUUAAGACCUAAUUUGCAAAAUAUCAUAAAGAGAUUCUAAGGCUUCAGACUAUUUCUAAUUCACAAACAUUACUAUCGUCUCACAACAUCUUUUGGUCGUGGCCACAUGGGUGGAUGAUACCCUUCUUUAAUUUUUACCUUUGUUUCCACUCAGGUUCGGAUAUCCGCAUCGGAGUUUUAAUUAAUUUAGGUUCAUGCUACGUAAGACAUAUUAAAGUGAGAAUACUCCUGAUCAGGAUUUGAUCUAUUAUAUGAUUUGAAGCUAGAGUCUCUCUAUGCUCAGCCACCAAAUUGUAGCGUCUCAAACCAAAAUCUAGAUCAUGAAGCUCGCUUCUCUCACCUCACAAUCAUGGCGUCUUCUUAGUUUGUACAAGAAAAAAAUCCCAAUAUUAAAGUGAAAUGGUGAAAGUCCGUUGUAUUGAAUCAAACUGUUUACCCUAAAAAAUGAUAACAAUUGAUUUUUUAUGUGGUUUGAAGGAUAUGCGGGUUAAUUCGAUACAAAUAAUAUAUUGUGUUAGAUUAAACAGAUAAAAGACGUAAUAGAUUAUCAAACCACUUAACGGGGUGAUUUCGGACUUCAAUGAUAACCUUAAUGAAUUGCAUGUCCUCGAUCCCGGACUUACAAUAACUAAGCACUGAUGAACAAGAAUAAGAGCUUUGAAUAACAGAGUAAAUAAAAGUAUAUUGCCUUGAUGUACGUAUUACAGUGUGUUGAAUGAACAGUCAAGUUCUACUUUAAGUACAAUUCUAUAAAAGGUAAAAAUCUCUCGUUUAACCAAUCGCUGGAUUUCUGCCGAUAUGUGUCGAGAUCCACGCCGUGAUAUCCGGCUGGUCAUAGAUAUCGCAACUUUUUGUUGUCCAUUCUUGAUUGCCUGACUAUGCUCUUUGAGGCCUUUAGGAUUCGGAUCAGACCAAGUUCAUGACGAGAAAUGACAUGAGCACUUCGAUUCCUUCUUCAAUACACCAUAACAGAAAUGUCCCUUCAGUCCCGUCAUAAUGACUUAAAAUGCGUGUCCACCAUUGGCAGGUCAUCCCUGUGCACGAAACGGUGCAAAGCCCUUGUAAAUACUCCUUCCUUCAUUCAUUUUUACCUCUUGACCAAGAUUCUACCUUCGAACCAUUAGAAUACUACUGCCUUCCCUCAUAGUCCAACAUUUUACCUUCGUUCAUCAAGAUUUCUCAACAAAUUGCAAGUUUUUAUUUAUUUUUUACCCAAAUCGUCGCACUUGACUCUCUCAGCAAAGCUCUUACCCAACCAUUCUUCACAUUUUCUAAACCUUUUCCUAUAUAACAAUGGCAAAAAUAUCCAAAUUUGUUCCCUAAAAAGUUGCUUCAUCCUCUUCGCAGCCGACCACCGAAGCCGAGGCGCCCUCUCCUGAUGUGGUUGUCCUCUAGAGGAACGUUUCGGGCGCAGUGAUCAAUGAACCGGCUGCCGAGCCUCCCUUGAAAAUGUUUAUCCUUGGGGGUGUUCGAUCGUGGAUGAUUUUAAGGUUGAAAAGCCCUCAUCGGUGCAAGGCCGAUGCGAGGCGCUAUCUAGGUACAUCUGCUCCAUCACCAAAGCCAUCCUCCCUGUGGUUCGAAAGGACACUGGCUAGGCAAAUAAGACAUAGUCAUCCCCGGGCCUGAUAGCGACAUUACUACCCAUGUGGAGAGAUAUUUUAGUGUCUACACUUAUCCCUUCAUACUAGUCUUGGGGGACCUGAUUAUUCUGGAAUUCUGUGGGAGGUAUGAAGUAAGUAUCGGUCAGAUCCACCCAUCGAUGUGGAGGAUCGUAAUCCUCCUUUAAUUCUUUGUGAACAAAAUUGACUCUUGUUUUUUCACCAUCGAUCAUCUACUCUACCUGUACAGUCCCUGAAUUUUCCGGGGGGGAAUGAUAAAGCUCAUAUGCUGGGCUAGCAAAGCCCCAUUUUCAAGCAUCGACGAGGACCGAGGCUAGCAUGGACGCUUUGUCUGGGUGAGGACCACAGAUUUGAUCCUUGCCAAAUUUAGGCCAUUCCUCUAGAAGUGGAAUGUAUCAUCCCAUGCUUGAGUCCCAAACGCGGCUCAAGGAGUGGAUCAAGGGCAUUUUCUCACAGAUGACCUAUUCUGAGCGUUCAUAGCAUGAUCUCUCGCAGGGCUGUUGGGAGGCCCUUUCUCAUGGUAAGAUCUCUUUCCAGGAUAAGUAUCAUUAGGCUUCCCUCCCCAAGUGCAGAUCCCGGCCAUAAGCGGUCAAUAAUCAUCAUCGUCCCGGAGGAUGCAUAGGUUUUUUCCCGCCCUGUUGGAAUAGCGAGAUAUCUCCAGUUCCUAGUAACCAAAGAAGACCAGGCGAAGAUGAACGAUGUGGGAGUUCCAUGUCUGUUCAAAGAAGCGCAGCAGGCGCUGAAUCGGGCCUCGGUUCUUCACCAUGAAAGUUUUCUUAGGUACCGGGCUGAGAUUAACCUCGAGGCCAAGGUCAGGGAGCUCGCCAAGAAUAGGACUCGUAUAAUCUUCUUAGCGAGUAACACGAAGAAACUGUCACGAGCCUUCAGGAUGAGUUAGAUGCGGCUCAGAAGGGGCAUGCCGACCUGGUGGAACAGGUCUAGCAGAAGGUUGACAGGGUCAACCAACUCCAAGACGAGAUGAACGAGGUCAAGGCCAUGGCCGAAGAGUGGAAAGGAAAAAUGGGCCGACUGGCUUCGAAAAAAACCGCCUGGGAGCAACUAGCAUCGGCAGAGGUCCAACUCUGAAUGGCGAAGGAGAAUGCUCAAGCACGGGCCUGACAAAUCGAAGAACUUCUGUCUCAACUGGGCUCGGGCAUUGCUGAAUAGGAUGCCCUUGGAAAGGAGCUCGAAAUAGCAAGGUCUGUGUCAGAAAUAACCAGGGCUGAUGUUGAAGAAAUCGUGGACUAGUACAAGGCCAAUGCCGAGGCAGCUCAGGACCACCUGAAACUUACUGUUGAAUAUGUGAAGUGGCAGUCCAUAAGGGAGGCUCUCGAGGAGGUCCACGCCCGGGGUGUCGACCUCUCGACCGAGAUCGAAGAUGCGAGAAGGAUCGAGGACGAGGCCAAGAAGCUGGCUGACCCCGAGGGUGACGGAUGCUCUAUGGGCUCCGGCAAACCCAAGGAUGGAGAAGACUUUGCCGGCUCCGGUGAUGAGGCGGGUCCUGGUGAAGAUCGGGACUAGGUGCCUUAGGGAUUUUUCUUUGUUUUUGCAUUUUGUUCAUUUUGUUGCGGCCGUUAUCAUUAACCUUUAUAAUGACUUUUAUUGGAAUGUA